GGUUGGGUUAGCUCUAUGGUUAGAGCUUACGCCUUGUGACUGGAAGAUGCCGGGUUCGAAUCUCGACAGAGGCA
rnacentral:tRNA from 1 species